AAUUUUUAUUUUACCAAGGAGCAAAACUGAGUAAGUUUCCUGACGAAAAUAAUGAGUGUCUACUGUUCUAGGGCCUUUAACAACAACAACAACAAAUUUACAUUAACGCACAUUAUGUGCCAGGAAUUGCAAGAUGCAUAAGAUUAGUUUUUAAAAUGUGCCUGCUAGAGCUGAACAGGUAACGAGAGUUCGAAGCCGGGUCCAGAGCUAUCUUCUGUAACAUUCUUCUGGGUCGAGUCCCUGCCCCGCUACGAGACUAUACGUAACAUGGACCUGGAAAAGCUUAAAAAUAUGAAGAGGAUUGAACUGGCUGCCAUCUGUGCAUCUUCAUUUAUGAAAACACUCCUCAUAGACUUAAAACAAAUGACAGAGAACAAAUUAGUCAGCUUCUUCUAAAAUACAGUGGUCUCCCCUUACCCUCAGUUUCACUUUCUGCAGUCAACUGCAGUCCGAAAAUACUACAUACAAUUAGAUAUUCGGAGAGAGAGACACCACAUUUACAUAAAUGUUAUUUCAGUAUACUGUUA
rnacentral:lncRNA from 1 species